AUCGUCUGGGUCUGUUUUGGCUCUGGGGCGCUGGGUCGGGACCAGGGUGACGGGGUGAGAAAACGCGACAGGAGGCGCUGUCCCCGCGGCACAGAGGCGGGUCUGAAGUUCGGGGACGCCGCCCGGGGUGCCCCGCGCAGGCCCGGGAGAGGGUCCGACGUGCCCGCCUCCCGUCUGUCCCCGCCCAUCUCCGUCCACAGAGUCCGAUGGCGGCGCCGGCGCUGAGGGACCCGCCUCAGGGACAAAAGGCCAUUUGAAGACACGGCGAGAAGAUGGCCAUCCCAAGCCAAGGAGAGAGGCCACAGGAGAUACCAAACCUGUUGACACCUUCCUCUCAGACUUCCAGCCUCCAGAAGGUUGAGUGUCAUUAUGGGUGGAUUGGCUGAUAGUACAAGGACCUGCUGAAUAUAUUGAUAUUAACGACAAAAAUAGAGCCGCACCAUGUGACUUGCAGGAUCUUAAUUCCUUGACCCGGGAUCGUACCUGUGCCCCCUGCAGUGGCAACGUAGAGUCCUAACCCCUGGACUGCCAGGCAACUCCCAUCCUUCUCUUUUAUGAAUAUUCAUUGAAGUGUUUAGAGGCACAAUCAUAUAGCUUCUUGAAUUUUCUUUAACAUGAUUUGGAGGGAAAUUGGGUGGGUUUAUACAUGAAGUAAAUUUGGCUAUGGGUGGGUCCUGUGAAACUGUGAUGGGUUCACUUGGUUUAUUUUAUCAAUAUUAACCCUUUCUCUUUCAUAGAUGUCUGAAAUUUAAAGUUAAUAUUUAAAAUGUCAUUAUUUCCAUAAUGAACAAAUAUUGGAAAACAAAUAUUUUCCCUCUAUUUGCUAAAACUUUAUCCUUUUAGUUUUUAGGGCACCACUCUUCCUUAUAUUGCACUGCUUAGCCUUCAAAUUUCAGAGAGUAUUACAUUGAAGUCUCUUUGACUCUGUUUCUCAUCAUUUUACCCA